CAAUAGCGUAUAUUAAAGUUGUUGCAGUUAAAAAGCUCGUAGUCGGAUUUCGGGUCGGGCCGAGCGGUCUGCCGAUGGGUAUGCACUGUUUGGCGCGGCCUUCUUUCCGGAGACCGCGGCUACUCUUAACUGAGCGGGCGUGGGAGACGGAUCGUUUACUUUGAAAAAUCAGAGUGUUUCUAGCAGGCAGCUCGCUCUUGCAUAGGUUAGCAUGGGAUAAUUUAAUAGGACUCUGGUGCUAUUUUGUUGGUUUCGAACACCGGAGUAAUGAUUAAAAGGGGCAGUCAGGGGCACUCGUAUUCCGUCGAGAGAGGUGGAAUUCUCUAAUUUGAUAAAGACUAACUUAUGCGAAAGCAUUUGCCAAGGAUGUUUUCAUUAAUCAAGAACGAAAGUUAGGGGAUCAAAGACGAUCAGAUACCAU
rnacentral:rRNA from 1 species